GACGAACGCUGGCGGCGUGCUUAACACAUGCAAGUCGAACGGUGAAGCGCCUUCCUUUUUGGUGGGUGUGGAUGAGUGGCGAACGGGUGAGUAACACGUGAGUAACCUGCCCCCUUCUUCUGGAUAACCGCAUGAAAGUGUGGCUAAUACGGGAUAUUCUGGGUCUGUCGCAUGAUGGGUCUGGGAAAGAUAUUGUUUCGGUGGGGGAUGGGCUCGCGGCCUAUCAGCUUGUUGGUGGGGUGAUGGCCUACCAAGGCGGUGACGGGUAGCCGGCCUGAGAGGGUGGACGGUCACACUGGGACUGAGACACGGCCCAGACUCCUACGGGAGGCAGCAGUGGGGAAUAUUGCACAAUGGGCGCAAGCCUGAUGCAGCGACGCCGCGUGAGGGAUGGAGGCCUGCGGGUUGUGAACAUCUUUCGCCAGUGAAGCAGGCCUGCCUCGUUUGUGGGUGGGUUGACGGUAGCUGGAUAAGAAGCGCCGGCUAACUACGUG
rnacentral:rRNA from 1 species